GCGCGCGACGAGAUGGCGCAGCGGAUCGCGAUUCGCCAAGUGCGCGAUCUCGUGCGCGAGCACGAUGUCGCGAACCUCUCGACUCCACUGCAGUGCGUCGGUUGGAAGAAAGACAGUGGGUUCGAAGAUUCCCCCCGCCAUCGGCGUGGUCACGCCGGCGGAGGUCACGAGGCGGAUAUCGGUUU
rnacentral:misc_RNA from 1 species